rnacentral:rRNA from 1 species
GAAAUGCGAUAAGUAAUGUGAAUUGCAGAAUUCAGUGAAUCAUCGAAUCUUUGAACGCACCUUGCGCUCCUUGGUAUUCCGAGGAGCACACCUGUUUGAGUGUCAUGAAAUUCUCAACCUUACAAACCUUUUGUGUUUUGUUAGGCUUGGACUUGGAGGGCCUUUGCUGGCAAUUGGGUCAGCUCCUCUCAAAUUUAUUAGCUUGAUUCCUUGCGGAUCGGCUCUCGGUGUGAUAAUUGUCUACGCCGUGACCGUGAAGCCCUUUUGGCAAGCUUCUAAUUGUCUUGUCAAGAGACAGUUUGUAUUUGACAUCUGACCUCAAAUCAGGUGGGACUACCCGCUGAACUUAA